rnacentral:rRNA from 1 species
UGGGGAAUAUUGCACAAUGGGGGAAACCCUGAUGCAGCCAUGCCGCGUGUGUGAAGAAGGCCUUCGGGUUGUAAAGCACUUUCAGUGGGGAGGAAGGGAUGAUGUCUAAUACGCAUCAUCAUUGACGUUACCCACAGAAGAAGCACCGGCUAACUCCGUGCCAGCAGCCGCGGUAAUACGGAGGGUGCAAGCGUUAAUCGGAAUAACUGGGCGUAAAGCGCACGCAGGCGGUUAGAUAAGUCAGAUGUGAAAUCCCGGGCUCAACCUGGGAACUGCAUUUGAAACUGUCUGACUAGAGUCUUGUAGAGGGGGUAGAAUUCCAGGUGUAGCGGUGAAAUGCGUAGAGAUCUGGAGGAAUACCGGUGCGAAGGCGGCCCCUAGGACAAAGCUGACGCUCAG